AGCGAACGCUGGCGGCAGGCUUAACACAUGCAAGUCGAGCGGGCGUAGCAAUACGUCAGCGGCAGACGGGUGAGUAACGCGUGGGAACAUACCUUUGGUUCGGAACAACACAGGGAAACUUGUGCUAAUACCGGAUAAGCCCUUACGGGGAAAGAUUUAUCGCCGAAAGAUUGGCCCGCGUCUGAUUAGCUAGUUGGUGAGGUAAUGGCUCACCAAGGCGACGAUCAGAGCUGGUCUGAGAGGAUGAUCAGCCACAUUGGGACUGAGACACGGCCCAAACUCCUACGGGAGGCAGCAGUGGGGAAUAUUGGACAAUGGGCGCAAGCCUGAUCCAGCCAUGCCGCGUGAGUGAUGAAGGCCCUAGGG
rnacentral:rRNA from 1 species